rnacentral:rRNA from 1 species
GACGAACGCUGGCGGCGUGCUUAACACAUGCAAGUCGAACGGAAAGGCCCUGCGUUUGUGGGGUGCUCGAGUGGCGAACGGGUGAGUAACACGUGAGUAACCUGGCCUUGACUGUGGGAUAACUUCAGGAAACUGGGGCUAAUACCGGAUAGGAGCUCCUGCUGCAUUGCGGGGGUUGGAAAGUUUCGGCGGUUGGGGAUGGACUCGCGGCUUGUCGGGCUGUUGGUGGGGGAGUGGCUUACCAAGGCUUUGACGGGUAGCCGGCCUGAGAGCGUGGCCGGCCACAUGGGGCCCGUGCUACGGCCCACACUCCUACGGGAGGCAGCCGUGGAGAAUAUUGCACGAUGGGCGGAGGCCUGAUGCAGCAACGCCGCGAGCGGGAUGACGGCCUUCGGCUUGUACACCGCUUUCGCCUCUGCCGCAGCGUGUGUGCCGCUAAUCGGUACAGACGCACCGGCUAACUACCUG